rnacentral:rRNA from 1 species
UGCCUCAUACAGGGGGAUAACAGUUAGAAAUGGCUGCUAAUACCGCAUAAGACCACAGUACUGCAUGGUACAGGUGGUAAAAACUCCGGUGGUAUGAGAUGGACCCGCGUCUGAUUAGGUAGUUGGUGAGGUAACGGCCCACCAAGCCGACGAUCAGUAGCCGACCUGAGAGGGUGACCGGCCACAUUGGGACUGAGACACGGCCCAGACUCCUACGGGAGGCAGCAGUGGGGAAUAUUGCACAAUGGGCGAAAGCCUGAUGCAGCGACGCCGCGUGAAGGAUGAAGUAUUUCGGUAUGUAAACUUCUAUCAGCAGGGAAGAAAAUGACGGUACCUGACUAAGAAGCCCCGGCUAACUACGUGCCAGCAGCCGCGGUUAAUACGUAGGGGGCAGGCGUUAUCCGGAUUUACUGGGUGUAAAGGGAGCGUAGACGGCUGUGCAAGUCUGAAGUGUAAAGGCAUGGGCUCAACCUGUGGACUGCUUUGGAAACUGUGCAUCUAGAGUGUCGGAGAGGUAAGUGGAAUUCCUAGUGUA